rnacentral:rRNA from 1 species
AACGAACGCUGGCGGCAUGCCUAACACAUGCAAGUCGAGCGAGACCUUCGGGUCUAGUGGCGCACGGGUGCGUAACACGUGGGAAUCUGCCCUUUGCUUCGGAAUAACAGUUAGAAAUGACUGCUAAUACCGGAUGAUGUCGAAAGACCAAAGAUUUAUCGGCAAAGGAUGAGCCCGCGUAGGAUUAGGUAGUUGGUGGGGUAAAGGCCUACCAAGCCGACGAUCCUUAGCUGGUCUGAGAGGAUGAUCAGCCACACUGGGACUGAGACACGGCCCAGACUCCUACGGGAGGCAGCAGUGGGGAAUAUUGGACAAUGGGCGAAAGCCUGAUCCAGCAAUGCCGCGUGAGUGAUGAAGGCCUUAGGGUUGUAAAGCUCUUUUACCAGGGAUGAUAAUGACAGUACCUGGAGAAUAAGCUCCGGCUAACUCCGUG